GGCAUGCCUUACACAUGCAAGUCGAACCUUAGCACGGGAGCAAUCCUGGUGGCGAGUGGCGAACGGGUGAGUAAUACAUCGGAACGUGUCCUGUAGUGGGGGAUAGCCCGGCGAAAGCCGGAUUAAUACCGCAUACGCUCUACGGAGGAAAGGGGGGGAUCUUCGGACCUCCCGCUACAGGGGCGGCCGAUGGCAGAUUAGCUAGUUGGUGGGGUAAAGGCCUACCAAGGCGACGAUCUGUAGCUGGUCUGAGAGGACGACCAGCCACACUGGGACUGAGACACGGCCCAGACUCCUACGGGAGGCAGCAGUGGGGAAUUUUGGACAAUGGGGGCAACCCUGAUCCAGCAAUGCCGCGUGUGUGAAGAAGGCCUUCGGGUUGUAAAGCACUUUUGUCCGGAAAGAAAUCCCCUGCCCUAAUACGGGGGGGGGAUGACGGUACUGGAAGAAUAAGCACCGGCUAACUACGUGCCAGCAGCCGCGGUAAUACGUAGGGUGCAAGCGUUAAUCGGAAUUACUGGGCGUAAAGCGUGCGCAGGCGGUUCGCUAAGACAGAUGUGAAAUCCCCCGGGCUUAACCUGGGAACUGCAUUUGUGACUGGCGGGCUAGAGUAGGCCAGGGGGGGGUAGAAUUCCACGUGUAGCAGUGAAAUGCGUAGAGAUGGGGAGGAAUACCGAUGGCGAAGGCAGCCCCCUGGCCAAAUACUGACGCUCAUGCACGAAAGCGUGGGGAGCAAACAGGAUUAGAUACCUGGGUAGUCCACGCCCUAAACGAUGUCAACUAGUUGUCGGGUCUUCAUUGACUUGGUAACGUAGCUAACGCGUGAAGUUGACCGCCUGGGGAGUACGGUCGCAAGAUUAAAACUCAAAGGAAUUGACGGGGACCCGCACAAGCGGUGGAUGAUGUGGAUUAAUUCGAUGCAACGCGAAAAACCUUACCUACCCUUGACAUGGUCAGAACCCUGCUGAAAGGUGGGGGUGCUCGAAAGAGAACUGAUACACAGGUGCUGCAUGGCUGUCGUCAGCUCGCGUCGUGAGAUGUUGGGUUAAGUCCCGCAACGAGCGCAACCCUUGUCCCUAGUUGCUACGCAAGAGCACUCUAGGGAGACUGCCGGUGACAAACCGGAGGAAGGUGGGGAUGACGUCAAGUCCUCAUGGCCCUUAUGGGUAGGGCUUCACACGUCAUACAAUGGUCGGAACAGAGGGUCGCCAACCCGUGAGGGGGAGCCAAUCCCAGAAAACCGAUCGUAGUCCGGAUCGCACUCUGCAACUCGAGUGCGUGAAGCUGGAAUCGCUAGUAAUCGCGGAUCAGCAUGCCGCGGUGAAUACGUUCCCGGGUCUUGUACACACCGCCCGUCACACCAUGGGAGUGGGUUUUACCAGAAGUGGAUAGUCUAACCGCAAGGAGGACGGUCACCACGGUAGGACU
rnacentral:rRNA from 1 species